CUCCUACGGGAGGCAGCAGUGGGGAAUAUUGCACAAUGGGCGCAAGCCUGAUGCAGCCAUGCCGCGUGUAUGAAGAAGGCCUUCGGGUUGUAAAGUACUUUCAGCGGGGAGGAAGGCGUUGAGGUUAAUAACCUCAGCGAUUGACGUUACCCGCAGAGAGACGCAUCCAGGCUAACUCCGUGCCAGCAGCCGCGGUAAU
rnacentral:rRNA from 1 species